rnacentral:rRNA from 1 species
CUCGUAGGCGGUUUGUCGCGUCUGCUGUGAAAACGCGAGGCUCAACCUCGCGCCUGCAGUGGGUACGGGCAGACUAGAGUGCGGUAGGGGAGACUGGAAUUCCUGAUGUAGCGGUGGAAUGCGCAGAUAUCAGGAGGAACACCGGUGGCGAAGGCGGGUCUCUGGGCCGUUACUGACGCUGAGGAGCGAAAGCGUGGGGAGCGAACA